GGCAGGUCCGGGUGGGGUUCUACGACAUCGAGGGCACUCUGGGCAAGGACAAUUUCGCCGUGGUGAAGCUGGGGCGGCACCGGAUCACCAAGACGGAGGUGGCGAUAAAAAUAAUAGAUAAAUCUCAACUGGAUGCAGUGAACUUUGAGAAAAUCUACUGAGAAGUACAAAUAAUGAAAAUGUUAGACCACCCACACAUAAUCAAACUUUAUCAGGUAAUGGAGACCAAAAAUAUGUUGUACCUUGUCACAGAAUAUGCAAAAAAUGGAGAAAUUUUUGGGAAAAUGGAGUUCCCUCGGCCAGGCUGCUCGCCUGACCGUCACCUACUCACCCACUUGGCAUGCCCUGUGCUUUCUCCUGACUCCUCAAAAUGUGUGUGCAUUGUGACCUCAUGACUGCCUACUGAGCUUGUGCAGGCUUAUGUACUGGUUGGCAGGACGUCAUUGAUGUCUGUGCUGCUAUAUAAGGAUCUCUGCCUGGUGCUCUAUUGCAGAGUGUGGAUCAGAGACUUGCUGCAUGCAGAUACAGGAGGUGUAAUCUCAGCACUGAACUGGCC